CCGCCAAGCCUCGGCAACUCAGCUUAGUUUUUCUAACUCCUUCUUAUCUACAUAGAGAUCUGGCCCAGGUGAGGCAUGCCUCAUGUGAACCGUGCCAUCACUGCCAGAUCUUUCCUGAGUCUGGCUGACAUCCAAUUUGCCAUGCCAGAGGUUUGCCAGAUGUGUCAGCAGAAUGCCAGAUCCGGUUCAGGUCGGUCUGCUGUGUGGGAACCGGCGAAGGCUCGCUCCUCUGGUCACCGUUUGCUCGAUUACCUGUCCGCCCUCCAACACCACCUCCACCAGCGAUCUACACCAAACUCUGAGACUCCACACGCCACCAACAAGCAGCCUCGACUCCAGCAGCCCCCACCGCUUCUUCCUCCCUGGCAGAUUAACUGCAUUUCAUCAAGAUGCAGUCGAUCCUAUACAGUGGACUCCGGGACAAGAUUCACAUUUCAUUCAAUUCUCUGGACAAAAUAAACUGUAUUGAACUGA